rnacentral:rRNA from 1 species
CCUACGGGUGGCAGCAGUGGGGGAUAUUGCACAAUGGGGGGAACCCUGAUGCAGCGACGCCGCGUGGGUGAAGAAGCGCCUCGGCGCGUAAAGCCCUGUCAGCAGGGAAGAAAAUGACGGUACCUGAAGAAGAAGCCCCGGCUAAAUACGUUCCAGCAGCCGCGGUAAUACGUAGGGGGCAAGCGUUAUCCGGAUUUACUGGGCGUAAAGGGGGCGCAGACGGCUGUGCAAGACAGGAGGGAAAGGCCGGGGGCUAACCCCGGGAAUGCUCUUGGAACUGCGUGGCUGGAGUGCAGGAGGGGCGGGCGGAAUUCCUGGUGUAGCGGUGAAAUGCGUAGAUAUCAGGAGGAACACCGGUGGCGAAGGCGGCCUGCUGGACUGCAACUGACGUUGAGGCCCGAAAGCGUGGGGAGUAAACAGGAUUAGAUACCCCUGUAGUC